UACGUUCCCGGGCUUGUACACACCGCCCGUCACACCACGAAAGUUGGUAACGCCCGAAGCCGGUGGCCUAACCCUUUUGGGAGGGGAGCCGUCGAAGGUGGGAUCAGCGAUUGGGGUG
rnacentral:rRNA from 1 species